rnacentral:rRNA from 1 species
AGUGAACGCUGGCGGUAGGCCUAACACAUGCAAGUCGAACGGCAGCACAGUAAGAGCUUGCUCUUACGGGUGGCGAGUGGCGGACGGGUGAGGAAUACAUCGGAAUCUACUUUUUCGUGGGGGAUAACGUAGGGAAACUUACGCUAAUACCGCAUACGACCUACGGGUGAAAGCAGGGGAUCUUCGGACCUUGCGCGAUUGAAUGAGCCGAUGUCGGAUUAGCUAGUUGGCGGGGUAAAGGCCCACCAAGGCGACGAUCCGUAGCUGGUCUGAGAGGAUGAUCAGCCCCACUGGAACUGAGACACGGUCCAGUCUCCUACGGGAGGCAGCAGUGGGGAAUAUUGGACAAUGGGCGCAAGCCUGAUCCAGCCAUACCGCGUGGGUGAAGAAGGCCUUCGGGUUGUAAAGCCCUUUUGUUGGGAAAGAAAAGCAGCAGGUUAAUACCCCGCUGUUCUGACGGUACCCAAAGAAUAAGCACCGGCUAACUUCGUG